UACGUAGGGUGCAAGCGUUAAUCGGAAUUACUGGGCGUAAAGCGUGCGCAGGCGGUUUUGUAAGUCUGUCGUGAAAGCCCCGGGCUCAACCUGGGAAUUGCGAUGGAGACUGCAAGGUUUGAAUCUGGCAGAGGGGGGUAGAAUUCCACGUGUAGCAGUGAAAUGCGUAGAGAUGUGGAGGAACACCGAUGGCGAAGGCAGCCCCCUGGGUCAAGAUUGACGCUCAUGCACGAAAGCGUGGGGAGCAAACAGG
rnacentral:rRNA from 1 species